UGGGGAAUAUUGCACAAUGGGCGCAAGCCUGAUGCAGCCAUGCCGCGUGUAUGAAGAAGGCCUUCGGGUUGUAAAGUACUUUCAGCGGGGAGGAAGGCGAUAAGGUUAAUAACCUUGUCGAUUGACGUUACCCGCAGAAGAAGCACCGGCUAACUCCGUGCCAGCAGCCGCGGUAAUACGGAGGGUGCAAGCGUUAAUCGGAAUUACUGGGCGUAAAGCGCACGCAGGCGGUCUGUCAAGUCGGAUGUGAAAGCCCCGAGCUCAACCUGGGAACUGCAUUCGAAACUGGCAGGCUAGAGUCUUGUAGAGGGGGGUAGAAUUCCAGGUGUAGCGGUGAAAUGCGUAGAGAUCUGGAGGAAUACCGGUGGCGAAGGCGGCCCCCUGGACAAAGACUGACGCUCAGGUGCGAAAGCGUGGGGAGCAAACA
rnacentral:rRNA from 1 species